rnacentral:rRNA from 1 species
GUCUAUAGCCAUGCCACCCUAAAUGUACCCGAUCUCGUCAGAUCUUGGAAGCUAAGCAGGGUCGG